rnacentral:lncRNA from 1 species
CAAUGUGAUCAACUCUUCUUCCCAAUUGAAUGUUUUGGUUUGGAAGAAAUGUUUGGUGAUGGGCACCUGAUAAGGAGAGGUUUUCACAAUGAGGAAGACCAAGACUGAGAGAGACACUAUUGCCUGAGAACCUUGGAGUGAAUUGGUCUGUAUCAAACCUCCCGAUUUCACCAAUUGGAUAUUGCCCGAAAUUCCCAAUAAAAUUGGUCUGUCCUCCCAUGAAUGAGUACCCAUCUCUGCUCUGCCUCUCAUCCCCA